GCGCAGCAGUCGCGAAACUUUACAAUGUGCGAAAGCACGAUAAGGGAACUCUGAGUGCCUCCUAAGGAGGCUGUUCUGAUGUCUAAAAGCAACAGAAGUAAGGGCUGGGUAAGACCGGUGCCAGCCGCCGCGGUAACACCGGCAGCCCAAGUGGUAGCCACGUUUAUUGGGUCUAAAGCGUUCGUAGCCGGCCAGGUAAGUUCCUUGGUAAAUUUAGCCGCUUAACGGUUAAGCUUUCGGGGAAUACUGCUUGGCUUGGGACUGGGAGAGGUCAGAGGUACUCCGGGGGUAGGGGUGAAAUCUAUUAAUCCCUGGGGGACCACCGGUAGCGAAGGCGUCUGACCAGACCAGGUCCGACGGUGAGGGACGAAGGCUAGGGGCGCGAACCGGAUUAGAUACCCC
rnacentral:rRNA from 1 species